ACACAGAAAGGAAGGUCCUGAGCCGCCAUUUCAUGUGCGAGCAGCUAAGAGAACGGGGUGAGUUGAGCAUACAAAUCAGCAAAACAAAAACAAAUUUAGUCUACAAAAAAUAUUUUAAUCUUCGUCUGGCUAUCUCAUUUUGAGGAGCAAAGAUGAGCUACGGAAGGCCUCCGCCCGAUGUCGAGGGUAUGUCCUCGCUCAAAGUGGACAAUCUCACGUACCGGACCUCGCCUGAGACCCUACGCCGAGUUUUCGAGAAGUAUGGCCGGGUGGGAGACGUGUACAUCCCCCGCGAUCGGUACACUAAGGAGAGCCGUGGUUUCGCCUUUGUGAGGUUCCACGAUAAGCGCGACGCUGAAGACGCGAUGGACGCCAUGGACGGGGCCUUGCUCGAUGGGCGGGAACUGCGAGUGCAGAUGGCGCGAUAUGGCCGUCCACCGGACUCUCACUUCGGGCGCCGAGGCGGCAGUGGACCCCCAAGGAGGCAUGGAGGCUACGGGCGCAGGAGCAGAAGUCGUUCAGGCAGCCCCCGUCGGCGAAGACACAGUCGUUCCCGAAGCAGGAACCGCAGUCGUGGCCGGGACUACAGCCGCUCACGGUCUCGUUCCUACUCCAGAUCCCGUUCCAAGUCCCGCACACCCCGCAAGAGCAAGUCCCCAUCCCGAUCAAGGUCCCGCAGCCGCACCCCGGCUUCUAACAGAGGCUCACGGUCGAGGUCCAAGAGCAUGCCCAAAUCCCCCGAGGACAACGGAACCGAGUCUUAGUAACAACAGUUCCAAGCCAGACCCAGUAAGACGGUACACAGGGCAUGGGAGAAUGGGGGUGGCCAUCAGACAGCCACAUAUGUUUGAGUCAUAGAGAGAGUUAUAGGAUGCCGCAUUGCGCCUGUCCUGUUAUGGCAUCUGUGAGAGCAUGUGCAGUGCCAUUGAGGCCAUCUCCAUACAUUUUUAUUCUACUAUGAGUUGGUAAACAAACUGAAUGGUUGGUGAUUUACUGCCACCUGCAGUUAUGGAAUGUUUGCUCACUAGUAUACUUAAUUUGCUGUUGACCUGGAUGAAAUUAUGUGAUCCUUAAACCAUAGGAAGUCCCACCCCGUUGACUACAAAGUGAUACAAUUCCUCAAUGGUGUUGCCCAUGCUAAAAUUGGCUUCUGGGCACUAGUCUGUCUAUGGUUUGAGUAUAGUUUGCUGAAUGUAGGGCACAUAAUUAUGUAAGGAGCCAUUAUAGGAACUCUAUGGUAGGACAGGGCAGGUUAAAUUCAAAUGCAGUUGGACAGUGUUCUGCAACCUUAAUAGUCCUUUGAAUAUGAGUGUUUAGUAACCAGAGUUGCAGUGUACCAGUCAGUACUUCAGAAUCCUGACCCUGGAAUUUUACUUGGUGUUGUAGAGGAAACUGGAAAUGUUAGUGUACAAAACAAAUGUUAAGUUGUGUGUAGAACGUGCAAGCAACACAAAGUAAAGUCAGGAAAUAGAGAUGGAUACCUGCAGUGCACACUGAAUGUGCCCACAGAUCUAAUCAACCGUGUGUGGGUGUCUGCCAAUGUUUUAUCCCCAAACGGUCACAUCAGCUAACAUUGGUUUGGGGUGGAUGUUAUCUGCAGGUCAGGGGUGUAGUUGGCCAAACUUGUUUACAACAUUUAUAAAAUGUGCCAGGGCUUAUAUAAAAAAAAUUGAGAUGGGGUAUAUUUAUUGCGGGGUGCUAAAAUCAAACAUUCGUUUACCUAAAUGUGGAAUUCUCUCCUCCAAGCUGCGGUGUCCUGUUGUCAAACCGAGAGGGUGUGGCAGAUGGCAGUGUAAGAGCAGUUAGUGUGUUGUGACGCGACCUGCCUGAGGCUGUUGGUGGGGGGCGAUGGCGGUUGCUAUGGAGCAGGUCGUCACUGGCGGUGCGGUGGUCCGUGCUGUCAGUUGGUGAGGUACUGUAUGUUCACAGGACCACCGACAGAAUGCUGCUGGCUGUACCGCUCUGUGUCUGGUCUCACUGGUGCAGGAGGGAGGACCCCAAGAUGUCAGACGAUUGAAACUUCUCUGUGGACGUCUGCCAGUGGACACCUCUACGCCUAACAGAAUACUGACCAAAAGGUUGUGACUUGGUCUAAAAUGUUUCAGUUGCCCAGAAAUAGACUACUAUAUAUUUACCAAUGCGUGUAAUGCCGUUGACUAGAGUGAAGAACAUGUUUUGAGGUUAAUUGUAUUUUGUCUCAUUGUUAGUGCAGGUUUGUUGCAUAUUAAUUUGAUUUAAACUUUUAUGAAGUAGCCUCCCCUCCCUUUUUAAAAAUUAAUUGAAGCCCUUAUUUAAUAGUCUAAUUCUCUACAGAACGAUUCCCGUACUGAGUUACUGCUGUUCUUCUUUUGGAGAGUUGAAUUUAGCAGAGUUACCCUAAACCAGCAUGUAGAGAGAAACCAUAUAAGCCUAAAUUGUAUAAAAAACAUUUGACAUUUUAUGUAAUUCGCUAACCUAACUAGGAGUACAGAUAGUUUUUUUUUAUGUAUGCAUGUAUGUACACUGAGUACACCAAAUAUUAGGAACACCUUCCUAUUAUUGAGUUCCACCUCCCUCUUUGCCCUCAGAACAGCCUCAUUUUAUGGGUGAAUGGACUACAUGGUGUCGAAAGCGUUCCACAGGGAUGCUGGCCCAUAUUGACUCCAAUGCUUGCCACAGUUGUCCAGUUGGCUGGAUCUCCUCUGGGUGAAACCUGUGUUCCUUGGCACCUACUAUCAUACCCUGUUCAAGGGCACUUAAAUCUUUUAUCUUGCGCAUUCACCCUCUGAGUGGCACACAUACACAAUCCAUGUCUCAAUGCUUAAAAAUCCUUCUUUAACCCAUCUCCUCCCUUUCUACACUGAUUGAAGUUUAUUUAGCAAGUGACACCAAUGAGGGAUCAUACUUUCACCUGGUUAGUCUGUCAUGGAAAGAGCAGGUGUUCUUAAUGUUUUCUAUACUCUGUGUAUAUUGUUAAUUUUUUGUCUCUGGUAUGCAUUUACUUAAUCCCCUCUUGUGUCAUCUUUUGUGCACUAGGCGCAGUUGUGUAGCAGUUGAGUAUUGCUGGUUAGCUGUUAAGGUGCGAUGCAGUGCUGAUGGUGAGGUGGCAGUGCAGUGGCUGGCGGGGGUGUUGCGGUGCCCGGUGAGUGCCCGGUGCAGUUGCCGCCCUGCUAUUGACUUGGUGCUGCUGCCGUUUGCCUGGCUCUGGUCUGUAAGAAUAAAUCAAUCACUGCUGUGGUGGCAGAUCUGAUCAUCCCAUCUCUCUCCCUCUGUUGUCUUAUGGUCUCUUACCAUUGUUGAUGUACCAAUACUAUUCUCUUUCUCCAUCCCUAGCCUGGUGGAACCAGUCUGAUCAUUGUAUUAUUGAUCAGGCUGGUUCCAACAGGUUAACUAUCCUUACACCCCCCCGCUGUGCUUUUGUCCUCUGUUGUGAGCUGGUUGUAUCCAUUGAUGGAAGAGUCUGUUAUGGCUCGAUAGAUGAGGGUUGGAUAAAGGGCAUCCCAUUAGCUUGAUAAAUUAGUCUCGGUAUUCUUUUGUGAACCCUCGCAAGAUGUCUUGUAAAUGCUCCAGGUGAAGGCUAAUAAAAAUGUCAAAUUUA